GAUUUUAGGUAAUCGCGGCUAGUAAUAGUUGAGGAAAGUCCAUGCUCGCACAGGCUGAGAUGCCUGUAGUGUUCGUGCUUAGCGAAACCAUAAGCUAAGGUAGUGCCUAGCGCUAACGGCAGGCAAAAGGUCUAAGGCUUCGGCUAUGACUGAGUAACCUCUAAGGUGCCACAGAGACGAGGCUGGUUGGAAACAACUAGCGUGGAACGCGGUAAACCCCUCGAGCGAGCAACCCAAAUAGUAACCUAGUUUUCUAGGGAGACUGGUCGGGGCACUUUUCCUAGGGAAAUGAACCGAUGGAAGAGGCGGGUCACUGAGUGACCGGCAGACAGAUGAUUACCCCACUUAAGGUGCAUAGCCUAUUUCCCUUAAGUGACAGAACAUGGCUUAUCGAA
rnacentral:RNase_P_RNA from 1 species